rnacentral:rRNA from 1 species
UGAGGAAUAUUGGUCAAUGGACGAGAGUCUGAACCAGCCAAGUAGCGUGAAGGAUGAAGGCUCUAUGGGUCGUAAACUUCUUUUAUAUGGGAAUAAAGUGAGCCACGUGUGGCUUUUUGUAUGUACCAUAUGAAUAAGGACCGGCUAACUCCGUGCCAGCAGCCGCGGUAAUACGGAGGGUCCGAGCGUUAUCCGGAUUUACUGGGUGUAAAGGGAGCGUAGACGGCUAUGUAAGUCUGAUGUGAAAACCCGGGGCUCAACCCUGGGACUGCAUUGGAAACUAUUGAUCUUGAGUGAUGGAGAGGCAGGCGGAAUUCCCGGUGUAGCGGUGGAAUGCGUAGAUAUCGGGAGGAACACCAGUGGCGAAGGCGGCCUGCUGGACAUUAACUGACGCUGAGGAGCGAAAGCGUGGGGAGCAAACA